rnacentral:rRNA from 1 species
AUUCCUACGGGAGGCAGCAGUGAGGAAUAUUGGUCAAUGGACGCAAGUCUGAACCAGCCAAAUCGCGCGAAGGAAGACUGCCUUAUGGGUUGUAAACUUCUUUUAUACAGGAAUAAAAAAAGUUACGUGUAACUUAUUGCAUGUACUGUAUGAAUAAGCAUCGGCUAACUCCGUGCCAGCAGCCGCGGUAAUACGGAGGAUGCGAGCGUUAUCCGGAUUUAUUGGGUUUAAAGGGUGCGCAGGCGGGCUUUUGAGUCAGCGGUGAAAUCCCGACGCUUAACGUCGGCACUGCCGUUGAAACUGGGAGCCUUGAGUAUAGAUGAAGUAGGCGGAAUUCGUUGUGUAGCGGUGACAUGCUUAGAUAUAACGAGGAACACCAAUUGCGUAGGCAGCUUACUAAACUAUAACUGACGCUCAAGCACGAAAGCGUGGGGAUCAAACAGGAUUAGAUACCCUGGUAGUCCACGCCGUAAACGAUGAUUACUAGCUGUUUGCGAUAUACAGUAAGUGGCUAAGCGAAAGCGAUAAGUAAUCCACCUGGGGAGUACGCCGGCAACGGUGAAACUCAAAUGAAUUGACGGAAU